UGGCGACCGGCGCACGGGUGAGUAACACGUGUCCAACCUGCCGAUGACUCGGGGAUAGCCUUUCGAAAGAAAGAUUAAUACCCGAUGGCAUAGUUCUUCCGCAUGGUAGAACUAUUAAAGAAUUUCGGUCAUCGAUGGGGAUGCGUUCCAUUAGCUUGUUGGCGGGGUAACGGCCCACCAAGGCAUCGAUGGAUAGGGGUUCUGAGAGGAAGGUCCCCCACAUUGGAACUGAGACACGGUCCAAACUCCUACGGGAGGCAGCAG
rnacentral:rRNA from 1 species